rnacentral:rRNA from 1 species
GAUGAACGCUAUGCUACAGGCUUAACACAUGCAAGUCGAGGGGCAGCAUUUUAGUUUGCUUGCAAACUGAAGAUGGCGACCGGCGCACGGGUGAGUAACACGUAUCCAACCUGCCGAUAACUCCGGAAUAGCCUUUCGAAAGAAAGAUUAAUACCGGAUAGCAUACGAAUAUCGCAUGAUAUUUUUAUUAAAGAAUUUCGGUUAUCGAUGGGGAUGCGUUCCUUUAGUUUGUUGGCGGGGUAACGGCCCACCAAGACUACGAUGGAUAGGGGUUCUGAGAGGAAGGUCCCCCACAUUGGAACUGAGACACGGUCCAAACUCCUACGGGAGGCAGCAGUGAGGAAUAUUGGUCAAUGGGCGAGAGCCUGAACCAGCCAAGUAGCGUGAAGGAUGAAGGCUCUAUGGGUCGCAAACUUCUUUUAUAUGGGAAUAAAGUCUUCCACGUGUGGAAUUUUGUAUGUACCAUAUGAAUAAGGAUCGGCUAACUCCGUGCCAGCAGCCGCGGUAAUACGGAGGAUCCGAGCGUUAUCCGGAUUUAUUGGGUUUAAAGGGAGCGUAGGUGGAUUGUUAAGUCAGUUGUGAAAGUUUGCGGCUCAACCGUAAAAUUGCAGUUGAAACUGGCAGUCUUGAGUACAGUAGAGGUGGGCGGAAUUCGUGGUGUAGCGGUGAAAUGCUUAGAUAUCACGAAGAACUCCGAUUGCGAAGGCAGCUCACUAGACUGUCACUGACGCUGAUGCUCGAAAGUGUGGGUAUCAAACAGGAUUAGAUACCCUGGUAGUCCACACAGUAAACGAUGAAUACUCGCUGUUUGCGAUAUACAGUAAGCGGCCAAGCGAAAGCAUUAAGUAUUCCACCUGGGGAGUACGCCGGCAACGGUGAAACUCAAAGGAAUUGACGGGGGCCCGCACAAGCGGAGGAACAUGUGGUUUAAUUCGAUGAUACGCGAGGAACCUUACCCGGGCUUAAAUUGCAACAGAAUAUAUUGGAAACAGUAUAGCCGUAAGGCUGUUGUGAAGGUGCUGCAUGGUUGUCGUCAGCUCGUGCCGUGAGGUGUCGGCUUAAGUGCCAUAACGAGCGCAACCCUUAUCUUUAGUUACUAACAGGUCAUGCUGAGGACUCUAGAGAGACUGCCGUCGUAAGAUGUGAGGAAGGUGGGGAUGACGUCAAAUCAGCACGGCCCUUACGUCCGGGGCUACACACGUGUUACAAUGGGGGGUACAGAAGGCGGCUACCUGGUGACAGGAUGCUAAUCCCAAAAACCUCUCUCAGUUCGGAUCGAAGUCUGCAACCCGACUUCGUGAAGCUGGAUUCGCUAGUAAUCGCGCAUCAGCCAUGGCGCGGUGAAUACGUUCCCGGGCCUUGUACACACCGCCCGUCAAGCCAUGAAAGCCGGGGGUACCUGAAGUACGUAACAGGAAGGAGCGUCCUAGGGUAAAACUGGUAAUUGGGGCUA